CUAAGAAUAUUCCGCAAUGGACGAAAGUCUGACGGAGCGACGCCGCGUGGAUGAUGAAGGCCGAAAGGUUGUAAAGUCCUUUUGCUGGGGAAGAAUAACCAUGGGAGGGAAUGCCCGUGGGAUGACAUGAACCGGCGAAUAAGCCCCGGCUAACUACGUGCCAGCAGCCGCGGUAACACGUAGGGGGCGAGCGUUGUUCGGAAUUACUGGGCGUAAAGGGCAUGUAGGCGGCUUGGUAAGCCUGGCGUGAAAGUCACCGGCUCAACCGGUGGAUUGCGUUGGGUACUGCUGAGCUUGAAUCACGGAGAGGGAGCUAGAAGUCCAGGUGUAGGGGUGAAAUCUGUAGAGAUCUGGAAGAAUACCAGUGGCGAAGGCGAGCUCCUGGCCGAUGAUUGACGCUGAGGUGCGAAAGUGUGGGGAUCAAACA
rnacentral:rRNA from 1 species